CGACAACUACCUCCUUACCCACCCGCUAGUGUACAACAGAAACCUCUACCAACUAGCUCUGUACAGUGCCAUCAUUGCCAACGCUGGGGACAUUAUAAGAGAGAAUGCCCGCAGCUAAAAGAUCGCUCCACCUGGAUCAGGCCCGGACUACCUCCACCACCUUGACAGGCAGCCCACUACUACCAAGUAGAGGCAACAAAUCCCUAUGGCACAGCAAUUCCCAUAAACACAGUG